AAAGAACUUGUGUAAACACAAGAUAAUAAAGAAGUAGAAGGAAAACUAAGCUAAUUCCAGGAGCUCAACUUUGCAUAA
rnacentral:lncRNA from 1 species